AGCGAACGCUGGCGGCAGGCCUAACACAUGCAAGUCGAACGGAUCCUUCGGGAUUAGUGGCGGACGGGUGAGUAACACGUGGGGACGUGCCCUUUGGUUCGGAACAACUCAGGGAAACUUGAGCUAAUACCGGAUGUGCCCUUCGGGGGAAAGAUUUAUCGCCAUUGGAGCGGCCCGCGUCUGAUUAGCUAGUUGGUGAGGUAAAGGCUCACCAAGGCGACGAUCAGUAGCUGGUCUGAGAGGAUGAUCAGCCACAUUGGGACUGAGACACGGCCCAAACUCCUACGGGAGGCAGCAGUGGGGAAUCUUGCGCAAUGGGCGAAAGCUUGACGCAGCCAUGCCGCGUGAAUGAUGAAGGUCUUAGGAUUGUAAAAUUCUUUCACCGGGGACGAUAAUGACGGUACCCGGAGAAGAAGCCCCGGCUAACUUCGUGCCAGCCGCCGCGGUAA
rnacentral:rRNA from 1 species